rnacentral:rRNA from 1 species
CUUCGGGGCGCACCAGGCGCGAAAACUUUACAAUGCGGGAAACCGUGAUAAGGGGACACCGAGUGCCAGCAUCAUAUGCUGGCUGUCCGGGUGUGUAAAAUACACCCGUUAGCAAGGGCCGGGCAAGACCGGUGCCAGCCGCCGCGGUAACACCGGCGGCCCGAGUGGUGAUCGUGAUUAUUGGGUCUAAAGGGUCCGUAGCCGGUUUGGUCAGUCCUCCGGGAAAUCUGACGGCUCAACCGUUAGGCUUUCGGGGGAUACUGCCAGGCUUGGAACCGGGAGAGGUAAGAGGUACUACAGGGGUAGGAGUGAAAUCUUGUAAUCCCUGUGAGACCACCUGUGGCGAAGGCGUCUUACCAGAACGGGUUCGACGGUGAGGGACGAAAGCUGGGGGCACGAACCGGAUUAGAUACCCGGGUAGUCCCAGCCGUAAACGAUGCUCGCUAGGUGUCAGGCAUGGCGCGACCGUGUCUGGUGCCGCAGGGAAGCCGUGAAGCGAGCCACCUGGGAAGUACGGCCGCAAGGCUGAAACUUAAAGGAAUUGGCGGGGGAGCAC